AGCUCCUUGCAAACAAAAUCCAAAGUUUAGGCAAAGAAGAAAUGCAAAGAACUAACCUGGUGAUCCAAGUGUAUCCAGCUAGAGAAACCAGCAUCUAAAGGAGAUGGCACCUUUCUACCCAGAAGCCUCCUUGGAGCCAAGAUGAACAAAAAGACUAGAAAUAGAAAGCCAGUUCUCAAGAGCCAUGCUCCUCUCCAUCAGCAUUCUAACCAAGCUAGACCUCUUUACUAUUUUUCUUCAAAAUUUGUCUGUAGAAUCCAAAAGAGAAACUUAAGUAGCAAAUGAAAAAGAAAAGGCUGCUCCAGCAACCCUCACCAGAGAACCUUGCUACACUAUGUUCUUGGGACUACAGGUCUAAACUAAGCCCCGAGUUAGAACUGCAUGGGGAGCAUACCUAUAACAAAGCUCAGGAUUACCAAGGACAGAACCAUGACAUCGGUGUAUGAUCUACUCAGCUUCCCCUAGAUGGGAUAGUAUACAAAUCCCAAUCCCUAUUUAGAAUGUGUUUCAAAUUUCUUUCUUCUUUAUGUCACCAAUAGAAGUUCCAGUCAAAAUUUAAUAUGUCCAUUACUACCAUACAACUUUUCACAUAGUACACUUAAAUGUAAAACUAAUCAUGAUAAACAACAACAACAACAAAAAUCAAGUUCUUUU